rnacentral:lncRNA from 1 species
UGGCCGGAGAGGCAGCAGCACCCCGAGCUGUCAGGCGUUCCGCCGCGGCCGCGAGGCCCGCCGGCCGGCGGGGAGCUACGCCCGGACGGCCAGCAGGCCCGCGGGAGUGGGGCCGCGCUCGGACCCGGUGACUUAAGAGAUUAAAAUUAAUUUGGUUGCUGUUGGUUCUGAACAAAUAAUGAGUUCUUUUAUUUGAGGUAUGCCAUUUUGAAGACUGAGACGUUGGAGUUUUAUCCUAGAGGAUAAAGGAAAUCUUUGGGAAAGUCAGUAUUUUAUAUAGCAAAAAUAUGAACCUCAAACUGAAUCCUCUAAAGGCCCCAUACAAUGAAGUAGACAUUGGUGGAAACAUUUACACCCAGUCAGCUUGAAGAGUUUCAAAUGGACCCUACCACUGAGAAAUCAAGAUGGCAGUCUACUAUGGGGAAUUGAGGAAAAAUGGAUUAAUACAAGAGUCCUGUGAUAAUAUACAACCAAGACAGGGUUCUUUUAACAUGGAUUCCAUGCAGUGAAUGAAGACAUAGGUUUCUUACCCAACACAAAUGGACAGUGGAUUUGACUUUCUAAAGACUUUUUUUGUGGACAUUUUGACAUUUGGAGAAGAAAGAUGGCACACUAACCCAGAUAAUAGUUUUUAUGCCUGGAAUUUUUUGCAGUUUGAUUUGUAUGCGUAUGACCUCUUGAAAUGUUAAUUUUUAAUAAAAUUUGUAACACUUAAAA